AAUUCUUCAGCGUGCUGUCGAGCGGCUUGAUAAACAGACUGUUAUUACGCAGGUUCACAUCGCCUUUGGCCGUAACCAGCGAACCAUCUAACGGGAUAUCAAGAUGUAAGCGAGCACUCACAUCACCGUCAAUUUGCAACUGUUCCAGCGUGGCACCGAGCGACUCUUUCAGCGGUGUUUCGUCGAAAUAAGGCCCAACCGCUUUGCCCGGCCCGUUGAUGUCGGCAUCAAUCAGCAGUUUUUCUUUUGCGUAGUCAGGGAUAUUUGCCGUCAGGUUUGUGGCUUUUACCCCCCCCAGAUUGACGCUAUCCGUCUUCAUCCAUAGGCCAUCGUUAAUGAAGUUCAGUUCAAUAUUGAGGUCAGUCAGUGCGGGCCAGUCCGGCUGGAAGGCAAAUUUUGCAUUACGCAGCGGCAC
rnacentral:ncRNA from 1 species